AGACAUUCACAGUGGAACAAAGAAAUACACAGAAUCAAUGAAAAACUAUACACAAGCAACAACCAAAGUGCAAAUGAAGACAAACUGUUCAAAGACAAGUAAUAAUAAUAGUAUUAAUAAAUAAAUGCUGGGGUCAAAGCAAAUGGUACAACCAGCUGGAGGAACUCAGCAGGUCGGGCAGUAUCUGUGGAAAAGAACAGUCAACAUUUCGGGCCGAGACCAUUCGUCAGGAUCUGAUUAUUUCCUUCUGGGACCUGAGGGGCAACCUUUUCUACAAAGGCUGCUAAUGUGCCGGGAUUCACUCAUGUUACUAGAUGAGGCUCUGACAACUCAUCACUAUGAUGUCGUUCCUUGUGUUGGGCAAUCGUUCCCUUGGCGUGGAUCAAUAAGUUUGGAAAACUUAGGCCUCUGUAGUUUGACUUCUUCAUCAGGAGACCACAAUUGGAAAUAACAUCUCCUCCUGCUGACAAUCAACAUUGGCACACCUUAAGAAUGUGUGAUUCGCCCACGGUACAACAGCCUGAAGACACAAUUCAACAUUUUAUGAACAGCUUCUUCCCU